rnacentral:rRNA from 1 species
CGGGUGAGUAACGCGUGAGGAACCUGCCUCAAAGAGGGGGACAACAGUUGGAAACGACUGCUAAUACCGCAUAAGCCCACGGCUCGGCAUCGAGCAGAGGGAAAAGGAGCAAUCCGCUUUGAGAUGGCCUCGCGUCCGAUUAGCUGGUUGGUGAGGUAACGGCCCACCAAGGCGACGAUCGGUGGCCGGACUGAGAGGUUGAACGGCCACAUUGGGACUGAGACACGGCCCAG